AUGUUAAGAGGCACAAAAGAUAGGACCCUGUAAGCCUUCCAGCAGCAUGCAGGCUGAAGAGAGACUGACAAAUAAAAAUUCAAUAGGAACAUGCAGGUUGAUCAAAAGUAAGUUAAUUACAGCUUACCAGAACUUUUACUAAUCUAUAUUGACAUCUAGGAGCCUUCCAAGAGAAAGUGUUCUUCAUGUUUGAAGAAGAUGGGGCCAUCGUUUGGCAGGAAAUAGGAAGGUCAAGCCAAGACAAAAGUAUCCACCGAAUGUCCCUCUGCACCAGCAUGUGGGGUGUUACAGCAGGCAGAGUCCCUGACGACCUCUACCUCCGGCCACCACCAUCCACACAGGAGCCUUUAUCAGAAGUGCCGUCUCCUGUGUUUACCCACCUUCUGGAUGUGUGUGCAGAGUGGUGCAAAGAGUUGGAAGCAUUGCUGAGGGAGUGCAAGUGGAAGGUUGCUAUGACAGCCAGGAAUUUGCAAACCAAACCAGACCUGGAGAAGAAGUCUGUCCUUGGCCCAAAAAGUCUGCAGUUCCAAAUGGUUCUGCUCAAGGUUCUUGUUGUCUUAUUUGACACCUGCCAGAUGGAAGAACCUCUAAACCUGGGAUUUGGAAAUGUCCCAACAGAAAGGCUAUUUCCAAGCUGGCUGAAGCUGUGUUCAACGGAAUUGAGGUGUGAUAGAAGGAACUUCUUGGCAAGAAAAACUGGAAAAUAUUACAAUAGGUCCCAGAGAGAACCUCAUUAUCUUCUCGAAAAAAAUUUUAUAUUUGUUUAGUGUUCUGUGGUUUGCUAAGCACAUUCACAUAAAUUAUCUAAUUGGCUCUUCACAUCCGCCUGGUGAAGGAGUAAAAAUAGAUAUCAUAAUACUUGACCAAAGACAAGGAAAAUGAAGUUCAAUAAAAAUAAGAUCAAACAGCCAACAAGCAACAGAACUGAGAUUCGAAUCUGGGUUUUCCGACUGUAAAUGUAGCUCUUUUAAUUCUAUUAUGAUAAUUCCCCAAAAUAUAAAAGAGAUCACAUCUGAGCUGGACAGCUUAGAAAUAGGUAUUUUUCUAAAAUAAAGUGAUGUUGUAGAUAAUUUUUUUGUGGUAAAAUACACAUGAUGUAAAAUUUACCACUUUAAUCAUUUUUUUAAUUUUUGUUUUUGAGACGGAGUCACACUCUGUCGCCCAGGUUGGAGUGCAGUGGUGUAAUCUCAGCUCACUGCUACAUCCGCCUCCCAGGUUCAAGCAGUCCUCUGCCUCAGCCUCCCCAGUAGCUGGAAUUACAGGUACGCACCAGACCCUGCUAAUUUUUGUAUUUUUAGUAAGAUGGGGUUUCACCAUGUUGGCCAGGCUGGUCUCGAACUCCUGACCUCGUAAUCUGCCCGCCUCAGCCUCCCAAAGUGCUGGCAUUAUAGGUGUGAGCCACCAUACCCAGUCGCACUUUAAUCAUUUUUAAAUGUACAAUUGACAGGAAUCAAGUACAUUCAUUAUCGUGCAACUGUCACCACCAUCUCUCUAGAACUUCUUCAUCUUCUCAAACUGAAACUCUGUACUCUUUAAAUAAUAACUCCCCAAGUCCCUCCUCUCAGCCCCUGGAAACCAUCAUUCUACUCUAUGAAUUUGACCACUCUAGGUAACUCAUAUAAGUGGAAUUACACAGUAUUUGGCCUUUUGUGACUGGCUCAUGUCACUUAGUAUAACGUCUUCAAAGUUCAGCCAUGUUGUAGCGUGUAUCAGAAUUUUCUUCCUUUUUGAGGCUGAGAAUAUACAAUUGUAAAGAUAUACCACAUGUUGGCUAUUCAUCUAUCGGUAUAUGGCCACUUGGGGUUGCCUCCACCUUUUGGCUA
ensembl:lincRNA